rnacentral:rRNA from 1 species
UUAGCUUGUUGGCGGGGUAACGGCCCACCAAGGCGACGAUCAGUAGGGGUUCUGAGAGGAAGGUCCCCCACAUUGGAACUGAGACACGGUCCAAACUCCUACGGGAGGCAGCAGUGGGGAAUAUUGGUCAAUGGGCGAGAGCCUGAACCAGCCAAGUAGCGUGCAGGAUGACGGCCCUAUGGGUUGUAAACUGCUUUUAUAAGGGAAUAAAGUGAGUCUCGUGAGGCUUUUUGCAUGUACCUUAUGAAUAAGGACCGGCUAAUUCCGUGCCAGCAGCCGCGGUAAUACGGAAGGUCCGGGCGUUAUCCGGAUUUAUUGGGUUUAAAGGGAGCGUAGGCCGGAGAUUAAGCGUGUUGUGAAAUGUAGACGCUCAACGUCUGCACUGCAGCGCGAACUGGUUUCCUUGAGUACGCACAAAGUGGGCGGAAUUCGUGGUGUAGCGGUGAAAUGCUUAGAUAUCACGAAGAACUCCGAUUGCGAAGGCAGCUCACUGGAGCGCAACUGACGCUGAAGC